rnacentral:rRNA from 1 species
UACGUAGGCAGCGAGCGUUGUUCGGAGUUACUGGGCGUAAAGCGUGCGUAGGCGGUGUCCUAAGUCUGGUGUGAAAUCUCCCGGCUCAACUGGGAGGGUGCGCUAGAAACUGGGGUGCUGGAGUGUGGGAGAGGUAAGCGGAAUUCCUGGUGUAGCGGUGAAAUGCGUAGAUAUCAGGAGGAACACCUGCGGUGUAGACGGCUUACUGGACCAUAACUGACGCUGAGGCACGAAAGCGUGGGGAGCAAAC